rnacentral:rRNA from 1 species
GACGAACGCUGGCGGCGUGCUUAACACAUGCAAGUCGAACGGAAAGGCCCUGCUUGCAGGGUACUCGAGUGGCGAACGGGUGAGUAACACGUGGGUGAUCUGCCCUGCACUUCGGGAUAAGCCUGGGAAACUGGGUCUAAUACCGGCUAGGAGCCAUUUUUAGUGUGAUGGUUGGAAAGUUUUUUCGGUGUAGGAUGAGCUCGCGGCCUAUCAGCUUGUUUGUGGGGUAAUGGCCUACCAAGGCGGCGACGGGUAGCCGGCCAGUGAGGGUGGACGGCCACAGUGGGACUGAGGGAAGGCCCAGACGCCGACGGGAGGCAGCAGUGGGGAAUAUUGCACAAGGGGCGCAAGCCUGAUGCAGCGACGCCGCGGGGGGGAUGACGGCCUUCGGGUUGUAAACUCCUUUCGCUAGGGACGAAGCUUUUUGUGACGGUACCUAGAUAAGAAGCACCGGCUAACUACGUG